GUUUGUUUUGUCAUAGUUAUAGUUAGUUUUGUGGCUAUCAAGUUUUUGGCACCGUUGUCGGCGAGUGAAAUAUUAGGAACACUUGAUUUUUAUUAAUUUAGUCAUUUUUUAUUUUAUUUUAUUUUAUUUUAUAUUUUUUUGUUUUAGUUUAAUUAUUCCAUUCUAAUUUUUCUUUUGUUUGUUUCUAGCAGGUUCUUUUGGGUUAUGACUA
rnacentral:lncRNA from 1 species